CUGCUGCCUCCCGUAGGAGUCUGGGCCGUGUCUCAGUCCCAAUGUGGCCGUCCGCCCUCUCAGGCCGGCUACUGAUCGUCGCCUUGGUAGGCCGUUACCCUCCCAACCAGCUAAUCAGACGCGGGCCCAUCUUAUACCACCUCAGUUUUUCACACUGCGUCAUGCGCCGCUGUGCGCUUAUGCGGUAUUAGCAGCUGUUUCCAGCUGUUAUUCCCCUGUAUAAGGCAGGUUGCCCACGCGUUA
rnacentral:rRNA from 1 species